CGCAGCCGCGGUAAUUCCAGCUCCAAUAGCGUAUAUUAAAGUUGUUGCAGUUAAAAAGCUCGUAGUUGAAUUUCGGGGUCAGUAGGUUGGUCAUGCCUUCGGUAUGUACUGGUCUCACUGAUUCCUCCCUCUUGAAGAACUGUAAUGUCAUUAAUUUGGUGUUGCGGGGAAACAGGAUUGUUACUUUGAAAAAAUUAGAGUGUUUAAAGCAGGCUCACGCUUGAAUACAUUAGCAUGGAAUAAUGAAAUAGGACGUUCGAUCCUAUUUUGUUGGUUUCUAGGAUUGACGUAAUGAUUAAUAGGGAUAGUUGGGGGCAUUAGUAUUCAAUUGUCAGAGGUGAAAUUCUUGGAUUUAUUGAAGACUAACUACUGCGAAAGCAUUUGCCAAGGAUGUUUUCAUUAAUCAAGAACGAAAGUUAGGGGAUCGAAGACGAUCAGAUACCGUCGUAG
rnacentral:rRNA from 1 species